rnacentral:rRNA from 1 species
AGGGAAUCUUCCACAAUGGACGCAAGUCUGAUGGAGCAACGCCGCGUGAGUGAAGAAGGCCUUCGGGUCGUAAAACUCUGUUAUUGAAGAAGAACGUGUGUGACAGUAACUGGUCAUGCAGUGACGGUAUUCAAUCAGAAAGUCACGGCUAACUACGUGCCAGCAGCCGCGGUAAUACGUAGGUGGCAAGCGUUGUCCGGAUUUAUUGGGCGUAAAGCGAGUGCAGGCGGUCUUUUAAGUCUGAUGUGAAAGCCUUCGGCUUAACCGAAGAAGGGCAUCGGAAACUGGGAGACUUGAGUGCAGAAGGAGGAGAGUGGAACUCCAUGUGUAGCGGUGAAAUGCGUAGAUAUAUGGAAGAACACCAGUGGCGAAGGCGGCUCUCUGGUCUGUAACUGACGCUGAGGCUCGAAAGCGUGGGUAGCAAACAGGAUUAGAUACCCUGGUAGUCCACGCCGUAAACGAUGAAUAC